CCUACGGGGGGCAGCAGUGGGGAAUAUUGCACAAUGGGCGCAAGCCUGAUGCAGCCAUGCCGCGUGUGUGAAGAAGGCCUUCGGGUUGUAAAGCACUUUCAGCGGGGAGGAAGGCGGUGAGGUUAAUAACCUCAUCGAUUGACGUUACCCGCAGAAGAAGCACCGGCUAACUCCGUGCCAGCAGCCGCGGUAAUACGGAGGGCGCAAGCGUUAAUCGGAAUUACUGGGCGUAAAGCGCACGCAGGCGGUCUGUCAAGUCGGAUGUGAAAUCCCCGGGCUCAACCUGGGAACUGCAUUCGAAACUGGCAGGCUAGAGUCUUGUAGAGGGGGGUAGAAUUCCAGGUGUAGCGGUGAAAUGCGUAGAGAUCUGGAGGAAUACCGGUGGCGAAGGCGGCCCCCUGGACAAAGACUGACGCUCAGGUGCGAAAGCGUGGGGAGCAAACAGGAUUAGAUACCCGGGUAGUC
rnacentral:rRNA from 1 species